UGUGGUUGUCACAAAUCCAGGUACUUUGAAUCAAUGUGUGAACUGUAGAAUGCUUAAACAAUUCUUUCAUCUUUCACCACAGAAUCAAAGGAUCGCAGUUCGAGUCCCUACUGGUGUAAGAGCACCCUAGUUUACUCCAGGAGACCUUUGAUCUUCCAGGACACUUGCUAUUCCUGGGCUUACAGUCAAAUUUCAUGGAACCAGUGAGGUGAAGAGGAUAUUCUAUCAGCCAAGUCUCUUUGAAGCCACCUUACAAACAUCUGGCAAUUGCAGGAGCCCUGGGUGAAGUGGGACGAGGAGAAGCAGAGAUGCAAGAGG